CUGUCUGCAGCUUCUUCCUACUCGUCUUUCCCCCUUGUUCCUGCUUCUUUUCCUCUCACUUUUCUGCUUCUCCCUGCCCUCCAUACAAGUACCAGGAUACUCAGUACUGCCGGCCCACCCGUGCGGCUCCUGCCAGUCGUGAAGGCUGCAGGCUGUCCCGACCGGUAGCGCCUGGGCGGGUGUUCAGGUUAAAGCGGAGGCGAGGCAGCACAAACAGUGAAGACACUGAGCCAGGCUUCCUGCGAUGAACGGUUUGGCAAUGUCUGAAUCUGUCUCUUCGCUGUGUUUUUGACCUGGAAAUCGCGGGGAGGGAAGUGGGGCUGGCAGCAAGAAGAGAAGACCCUGCUCCUGCGGACCUCAGCGGAGCGGCUGCUCUUUUCCACAUUGGGGUGUGUUUUUCCCACCCUUGCAAAGCACGAGAGCCAAAAGGAGGCAGUCCACUCCAGGCUGCCUUCAGAAGCAAAGAUCCUGCAAUCAGCAGCAACAGUGCGGUGAGAGAUGGAGGAAGACGUGAAAGAGGAAGCAGAGAGCUGUGAAUGAUGGAAACUAGUUGGGUGUGGAUUUAAAAAAUGCCUGUGGGAAUGCCUGUUGGUGGUGCCUGUAUGACAGAAGCAGGUGAAAUUGGGCAUGUGCCUGACAGCGUGAAGUCAUCACCUCCAUCUCAUGGACAUCCUACUCUAAAGGGUGAAGGCAAGAGGUGGAAGGGGAAUGGGUAAGCAGCAGAAAAUGAAGUUUAGGCACAGCUCCCCAGGCUGGUGAUCUUUCCAUGAGGGCACAGGGGAGGGUGUGUGAGGAGGGAGGAAAGUCUUGUAUACCUGGUCUGUUGAGCCUUGAGUUUCAGCCCUCUGAAUAAACAAGCAAAAUUCAA